ACACAGGAAGGGAGGUGGUCCGCGAAAUUGAUAGCUUCAUGGACAUGUGAGGUGGCUGCGCGCUAGCUGCAUCGGCUCGGAAGAGCUGGCGAUCAACGCGCGCUGGCGAAUUCCCCGCAGUCACCCGGCCCCCGAGCUUCCGGUCAGUCCAACCAGGAGCAUUGCUCGGGGGCCGCCCCAU
rnacentral:sRNA from 1 species